rnacentral:rRNA from 1 species
UACGUAGGGUGCGAGCGUUAAUCGGAAUUACUGGGCGUAAAGCGUGCGCAGGCGGUUCGUUGUGUCGGCGGUGAAAGCCCCGGGCUUAACCUGGGAAUGGCCGUUGAAACUGGCGAACUGGAGUGUGGCAGAGGGGGGUGGAAUUCCGCGUGUAGCAGUGAAAUGCGUAGAGAUGUGGAGGAACACCGAUGGCGAAGGCAGCCCCCUGGGUCAAGAUUGACGCUCAUGCACGAAAGCGCGGGGAGCAAACAGG